AGUCCAGGAAGCAAGGUGUACACUUCAAGGUCUGCCAGCCGCUUCUUUUUGCGUUUCUAAGUCAAGUGUCUCGAACAUUUGAAGACACCUGCACCAUUGCCAAGCCAAAGGAGGGUUGAAAAGAAAACAGGAGACUAAAGACAAGGAAACAGACUCUGAGAGAUUAAGCAACUCGUCCAAGCUUACUCAACCAGUAGAUGUGGGAGGCCUGACAACCCACCCUGUGUUUCUAUUUCACAAGCUAACGCCCCAGCCACCGGGGCAACUGUUCCUGGGAAUGGAGGAUGUGAGCUCUCAGCUACUGCUCCAGAGUCAUGCCUACGGGUCUGCUGCCAAGUUCCCCCGCCAUGAUGGUCAUGCUCGACAACCCUUUGAAACUGUAUGUGCUUCGUCCCCUCAAAGGUCAGAAGAGGAUUAGAUCCCUCGAUUCUGAAUUACAGGUGGGAUGGUCGUGAGCCACCACUGGAUGUGGGAAUCCAACCUGGGUUUUCUGCAAGAGCAACACGUGCUCUCCACAACCACGCUGCCUCUCUAGACGUUUUUUGGGUAAAAUUUAAAUGAUAUCAAAAUGAAAGAUUUAAGAAAUGUCAGUGCCAAUGGAGUGAUUUCAUUUCUUCUCACUGAUGAAUGCGGUCCAUGAUGGUUAAAACUCUUUCAAGCAAGAUAAAGCCGGUUUCCCUUGAUGCCUUUGAACUCCAGACUUAGAGACAAUGGAUGGAGAAAAUAAAAUCUGGAGUCAGGUGGCAGCGGUGCACACCUUUGAUCACAGCACUCCAGAGGAAGAGGCAAGGGACUCUAUCUCUGAGUCCGAGGACAGUCCGGUCUGAGAUCGAGUUCCAGGACAGCCAGGGCUACACAGAAAAAUCCUGCCUCGAAUAACGAAAAAACAAAACUAAAAACACAUCAAAACCAAACAAACCGGGGUUAUUCUGUGCUGUCGGUGGCUGGGAGUGGAUACCUUUUGUCCAGCCAAAUGAAUCUUCCCCUCUGAUCGUACCCUUCCGGGCCUUGUGUAAUGAACUGGGCAAACCGACUGCAGCACUCUGCAAACCCCAACCUCCGAAAGGAGGGUUGAACUUCUUGGAACCCUCAAAAAAUACCAGUGAACUUCAGGAAGUAACGCACGCAACUCUUUUCCAGAAAGAGGUCAAUGGUCACAGAAUCGAAGGAAACACCACGAUGACCCUGGGACUUCCUGCCCACACACUCGGCAUCAUCUCAAAGUUCAAAGGGUUCACGAACUGACAUCCGGCUGACAGACAGGGAAUGCGGCUCAGUGGUAGAGGGCUUCCCUACCCUGGGAGAGGCCCUGGCUUUUAUCUCCAACCCUGCAAAGAAAAGAUUAAUCAAAUGAAAUGGAAAUAAAGCGGGCUUUAUGAAGAAACCCGCUUUCCCUGGGGUCUGGUUUCCUCCCCACCCCUCCUCCCCGCUCAUGACUGAGAGUCAGACUUGAAUGCAACUGGUCAAACCAAGAUUGCCUGCAGAGAUAACCAAGUUUUCCUAAAGCCUUCAAACAAGAAUGCUGUAAACAAACGAAUGUGCAAACGUGCUUACUCGAGAUCAGAAUGUCUCUUACCCAUCAACAUUCCCUUUUAAACGGCAAUUAAACAGUUUCACCUCAUAAA